GACAGAGGUGCCAAGCGUUAGGCGGAAUCACUGGGCUUAAAGCGUGUGUAGGCGGAUUUCUAAGUACCUUGUGAAAUCCCACGGCUCAACCGUGGAACUGCUCGGUAUACUGGGAAUCUUGAGCCACUUAGGGGUCGUCGGAACAAGCGGUGGAGCGGUGAAAUGCGUAGAUAUCUGGAGGAACACCGGUGGCGAAGGCGGCAUCCUGGACCGGCAUUGACGCUGAGGAGCGAAAGCCAGGGGAGCAAACGGG
rnacentral:rRNA from 1 species